CAGCCGCCGCGGGAAUACGUAGGUGGCAGGCGUUGUCCGGAAUUAUUGGGCGUAAAGGGCUCGCAGGCGGUUUCUUAAGUCUGAUGUGAAAGCCCCCGGCUCAACCGGGGAGGGUCAUUGGAAACUGGGAAACUUGAGUGCAGAAGAGGAGAGUGGAAUUCCACGUGUAGCGGUGAAAUGCGUAGAGAUGUGGAGGAACACCAGUGGCGAAGGCGACUCUCUGGUCUGUAACUGACGCUGAGGAGCGAAAGCGUGGGGAGCGAACAGGAUUAGAUACCCGCGUAGUCCCUGUCUCUUAUAC
rnacentral:rRNA from 1 species